AGUUUGAUCAUGGCUCAGGAUGAACGCUAGCGGCAGGCUUAACACAUGCAAGUCGAGGGGUAGAGGAAGCUUGCUUCCUUGAGACCGGCGCACGGGUGCGUAACGCGUAUGCAAUCUACCUUAUACAGGGGGAUAGCCCAGAGAAAUUUGGAUUAAUACCCCAUAGUAUAAUUGAAUGGCAUCAUUUAAUUAUUAAAGUUCCAACGGUAUAAGAUGAGCAUGCGUCCCAUUAGCUAGUUGGUGUGGUAACGGCACACCAAGGCGACGAUGGUAGGGGUCCUGAGGGGGAGAUCCACCACACUGGUACUGAGACACGGACCAGACUCCUACGGGAGGCAGCAGUGAGGAAUAUUGGUCAAUGGGCGCAAGCCUGAACCAGCCAUGCCGCGUGCAGGAUGACGGUCCUAUGGAUUGUAAACUGCUUUUGUACAGGAAGAAACACUCCCUCGUGAGGGAGCUUGACGGUACUGUAAGAAUAAGGAUCGGCUAACUCCGUG
rnacentral:rRNA from 1 species